GGAAAGUUGAAAAGAACUUUGAAGAGAGAGUUCAAAAGGGCGUGAAACCGCUUAGAAUAAAACGGACGGAGCCGUUAGUGGCCCGGCGGAAUCAGUCGUACGAUGCGCGAUAACCGGUCAUUCGCUAGAGCGAAAGUCUAGCUGGCCGCGUUAGUAAAUAGUAGCGUUCGUUCGAUGCAUUUCCGUCGGGUAAGCGUCGCGACCGAUGCGGAAAACUAUCGAAACCUUCGAAUUGAGGUCGAGAUACUCCUCGUGGGUAUUUCGUAACCAGUUCGUUUGGUCGUCGUCGAUAGAUGAACGGAUCGAGCGUCAGUAAAUAGAGUAACGCCGGCGUAAACGCUCGCUUAAGCGAUGGAAAGUCGAUGGAUCGGUCGUUGCCUGCUCGCAGGUUUCGAUUUGAUUCUAAUCGUCGGCGCUAUGAAAUCGCAGGCGACGCAUUACGGCGUUACGGCGUCAGCGACGUCCGAGACGGUCAACCGUCCGACCCGUCUUGAAACACGGACCAAGGAGUCUAACGUACGCGCGAGCUAAUGGGUGGAAAACCUAUAAGCGCAAUAAAAGUAAAAGCCGUUUCGGACGGCGCGGGGUACGAUCUCUUGGUCGCGAUGGCCUCGAGCGCAGUACCGUCCCGUUCUGACCGCUUGUCGGUAGGGCGGAGAUUGAGUGCAUACGUUGGGACCCGAAAGAUGGUGAACUAUGCCUGAGCAGAGCGAAGCCAGAGGAAACUCUGGUGGAGGUUCGUAGCGGUUCUGACGUGCAAAUCGAUCGUCAGAC
rnacentral:rRNA from 1 species